AGGAAGAACCUGCCAAGCUUGGUCAUCUAUGACACCACACUCGCAUAGUCGGACCCCAGAAUACUAUCCAAAUGCGUAUGUCUUUGUUCUUUACCAUAAGAGAAUAAAGGGCCAACUGAAGUUUCUGUGACAAGAGACAUGCUUCAAGCUCCUAACACCCAAUCACCAUGUAUGGCCUGUACCCCCAAAUGCAUCGUGCUUUGCUGUUUGCUA
rnacentral:lncRNA from 1 species